rnacentral:rRNA from 1 species
GACGAACGCUGGCGGCGUGCUUAACACAUGCAAGUCGAACGGAAAGGCCUGCUUUCCCUUGUGGAUUGCGGGUACUCGAGUGGCGAACGGGUGAGUAACACGUGAGUGAUCUGCCCCCAACUUGGGUAUAAGCCUGGGAAACUGGGUCUAAUUCCCGAUAGGACUGCAGGGUGGUGCCUGUGGUGGAACACGAUUUUCUAGUUGUUGGGGAUGAGCUCGCGGCCUAUCAGCUUGUUGGUGGGGUAAUGGCCUACCAAUGCGGCGACGGGUAGCCGGCCUGAGAGGGUGGACGGCGACAUUGAGACUGAGAUACGACCCAGAGACCGACGGGAGGCAGCAGUGGGGAAUGGUGGACGAUGGGCGGAAGCCUGAGGCAGCGACGCAGCGUGGGGGAUGACGGGCUUCGGGUUGUAAACUGCUUUCGGGCGCGAGGAAGCCACCUGGUUGGAAGGGUGGUGACGGUAGUGGUAGAAGAAGCACCGGCUAACUACGUG